rnacentral:rRNA from 1 species
GAUGAACGCUGGCGGCGUGCCUAAUACAUGCAAGUCGAGCGAACAGACGAGGAGCUUGCUCCUCUGACGUUAGCGGCGGACGGGUGAGUAACACGUGGAUAACCUACCUAUAAGACUGGGAUAACUUCGGGAAACCGGAGCUAAUACCGGAUAAUAUAUUGAACCGCAUGGUUCAAUAGUGAAAGACGGUUUUGCUGUCACUUAUAGAUGGAUCCGCGCCGCAUUAGCUAGUUGGUAAGGUAACGGCUUACCAAGGCAACGAUGCGUAGCCGACCUGAGAGGGUGAUCGGCCACACUGGAACUGAGACACCGGCCAAACUCCUACGGGAGGCAGCAGUAGGGAAUCUUCCGCAAUGGGGGAAAGCCUGACGGAGCAACGCCGGGUGAGUGAUGAAGGUCUUCGGAUCGUAAAACUCUGUUAUUAGGGAAGAACAAAUGUGGAAGUAACUAUGCACGUCUUGACGGUACCUAAUCAGAAAGCCACGGCUAACUACGUG